rnacentral:rRNA from 1 species
CAGGUUUACCUGUGUGACUGCGUACCUUUUGUAUAAUGGGUCAGCGACUUAUAUUCUGUAGCAAGGUUAACCGUAUAGGGGAGCCGGAGGGAAACCGAGUCUUAAUUGGGCGUUAAGUUGCAGGGUAUAGACCCGAAACCCGGUGAUCUAGCCAUGGGCAGGUUGAAGGUUGGGUAACACUAACUGGAGGACCGAACCGACUAAUGUUGAAAAAUUAGCGGAUGACCUGUGGCUGGGGGUGAAAGGCCAAUCAAACCGGGAGAUAGCUGGUUCUCCCCGAAAGCUAUUUAGGUAGCGCCUCGUGAAUUCAUCUCCGGGGGUAGAGCACUGUUUCGGCUAGGGGGCCAUCCCGGCUUACCAACCCGAUGCAAACUGCGAAUACCGGAGAAUGUUAUCACGGGAGACACACGGCGGGUGCUAACGUCCGUCGUGAAGAGGGAAACAACCCAGACCGCCAGCUAAGGUCCCAAAGUCAUGGUUAAGUGGGAAACGAUGUGGGAAGGCCCAGACAGCCAGGAUGUUGGCUUAGAAGCAGCCAUCAUUUAAAGAAAGCGUAAUAGCUCACUGGUCGAGUCGGCCUGCGCGGAAGAUGUAACGGGGCUAAACCAUGCACCGAAGCUGCGGCAGCGAACGUAUCACCCAAGACAACUUUACGGAGUUGACGAUUGACGGAGCGAAGCGACGUCAAAGCGUUCAUUAAAGUCGAGUUGGCUUAGGGAUACGUUCGUUGGGUAGGGGAGCGUUCUGUAAGCCUGUGAAGGUGUGUCGUGAGGCAUGCUGGAGGUAUCAGAAGUGCGAAUGCUGACAUAAGUAACGAUAAAGCGGGUGAAAAGCCCGCUCGCCGGAAGACCAAGGGUUCCUGUCCAACGUUAAUCGGGGCAGGGUGAGUCGACCCCUAAGGCGAGGCCGAAAGGCGUAGUCGAUGGGAAACGGGUUAAUAUUCCCGUACUUGGUGUUACUGCGAAGGGGGGACGGAGAAGGCUAUGUUGGCCGGGCGACGGUUGUCCCGGUUUAAGCGUGUAGGUGUGUGUUCCAGGUAAAUCCGGUUCACUUUAACACUGAGGCGUGACGACGAGGCACUACGGUGCUGAAGCAACAAAUGCCCUGCUUCCAGGAAAAGCCUCUAAGCAUCAGGUAACAUCAAAUCGUACCCCAAACCGACACAGGUGGUCAGGUAGAGAAUACCAAGGCGCUUGAGAGAACUCGGGUGAAGGAACUAGGCAAAAUGGUGCCGUAACUUCGGGAGAAGGCACGCUGACACGUAGGUGAAGUGAUUUACUCAUGGAGCUGAAGUCAGUCGAAGAUACCAGCUGGCUGCAACUGUUUAUUAAAAACACAGCACUGUGCAAACACGAAAGUGGACGUAUACGGUGUGACGCCUGCCCGGUGCCGGAAGGUUAAUUGAUGGGGUCAGCGCAAGCGAAGCUCCUGAUCGAAGCCCCGGUAAACGGCGGCCGUAACUAUAACGGUCCUAAGGUAGCGAAAUUCCUUGUCGGGUAAGUUCCGACCUGCACGAAUGGCGUAAUGAUGGCCAGGCUGUCUCCACCCGAGACUCAGUGAAAUUGAACUCGCUGUGAAGAUGCAGUGUACCCGCGGCAAGACGGAAAGACCCCGUGAACCUUUACUAUAGCUUGACACUGAACAUUGAGCCUUGAUGUGUAGGAUAGGUGGGAGGCUUUGAAGUGUGGACGCCAGUCUGCAUGGAGCCGACCUUGAAAUACCACCCUUUAAUGUUUGAUGUUCUAACGUGGACCCGUAAUCCGGGUUGCGGACAGUGUCUGGUGGGUAGUUUGACUGGGGCGGUCUCCUCCUAAAGAGUAACGGAGGAGCACGAAGGUUGGCUAAUCCUGGUCGGACAUCAGGAGGUUAGUGCAAUGGCAUAAGCCAGCUUGACUGCGAGCGUGACGGCGCGAGCAGGUGCGAAAGCAGGUCAUAGUGAUCCGGUGGUUCUGAAUGGAAGGGCCAUCGCUCAACGGAUAAAAGGUACUCCGGGGAUAACAGGCUGAUACCGCCCAAGAGUUCAUAUCGACGGCGGUGUUUGGCACCUCGAUGUCGGCUCAUCACAUCCUGGGGCUGAAGUAGGUCCCAAGGGUAUGGCUGUUCGCCAUUUAAAGUGGUACGCGAGCUGGGUUUAGAACGUCGUGAGACAGUUCGGUCCCUAUCUGCCGUGGGCGCUGGAGAACUGAGGGGGGCUGCUCCUAGUACGAGAGGACCGGAGUGGACGCAUCACUGGUGUUCGGGUUGUCAUGCCAAUGGCACUGCCCGGUAGCUAAAUGCGGAAGAGAUAAGUGCUGAAAGCAUCUAAGCACGAAACUUGCCCCGAGAUGAGUUC